UAAUACGUAGGGUGCAAGCGUUGUCCGGAAUUAUUGGGCGUAAAGAGCUCGUAGGCGGUCUGUCGCGUCGAAUGUGAAACCCCGAGGCUCAACCUCGGGUCUGCAUUCGAUACGGGCAGACUAGAGUUCGGUAGGGGAGUCUGGAAUUCCUGGUGUAGCGGUGAAAUGCGCAGAUAUCAGGAGGAACACCGGUGGCGAAGGCGGGACUCUGGGCCGAUACUGACGCUGAGGAGCGAAAGCGUGGGGAGCGAACAGGAUUAGAUACCCUGGUAGUCCACGCCGUAAACGUUGGGCGCUAGGUGUGGGGGUCCUUCCACGACCUCCGUGCCGCAGCUAACGCAUUAAGCGCCCCGCCUGGGGAGUACGGCCGCAAGGCUA
rnacentral:rRNA from 1 species